GACGAACGCUGGCGGCGUGCUUAACACAUGCAAGUCGAACGGAAAGGCCCUGCUUUUGUGGGGUGCUCGAGUGGCGAGCGGGUGAGUAACACGUGAGUAACCUGCCCUUGACUUUGGGAUAACUUCAGGAAACUGGGGCUAAUACCGGAUAGGAGCUCCUGCUGCAUGGUGGGGGUUGGAAAGUUUCGGCGGUUGGGGAUGGACUCGCGGCUUAUCAGCUUGUUGGUGGGGUAGUGGCUUACCAAGGCUUUGACGGGUAGCCGGCCUGAGAGGGUGACCGGCCACAUUGGGACUGGGAUACGGCCCAGACUCCUACGGGAGGCAGCAGUGGGGAAUAUUGCACAAUGGGCGGAAGCCUGAUGCAGCAACGCCGCGUGCGGGAUGACGGCCUUCGGGUUGUAAACCGCUUUCGCCUGUGACGAAGCGUGAGGGACGGUAAUGGGUAAAGAAGCACCGGCUAACUACGG
rnacentral:rRNA from 1 species